UACAGAGGUGGCAAGCGUUGUUCUGAAUUACUGGGCGUAAAGGGCGCGUAGGCGGCCUUCUAAGUCAGACGUGAAAUCCCCCGGCUUAACCUGGGAACUGCGUCUGAUACUGGGAGGCUUGAGUAUGGGAGAGGGAUGUAGAAUUCCAGGUGUAGCGGUGAAAUGCGUAGAUAUCUGGAUGAAUACCGGUGGCGAAGGCGGCAUCCUGGACCAUAACUGACGCUGAGGCGCGAAAGCUAGGGGAGCAAACGGG
rnacentral:rRNA from 1 species